rnacentral:rRNA from 1 species
AGUGAACGCUGGCGGUAGGCCUAACACAUGCAAGUCGAACGGCAGCACAGUAAGCGCUUGCUCUUACGGGUGGCGAGUGGCGGACGGGUGAGGAAUACAUCGGCAUCUACUUUUUCGUGGGGGAUAACGUAGGGAAACUUACGCUAAUACCGCAUAAGACCUACGGGUGAAAGCAGGGGAUCUUCGGACCUUGCGCGAUUGAAUGAGCCGAUGUCGGAUUAGCUAGUUGGCUGGGUAAAGGCCCACCAAGGCGACGAUACGUAGCUGGUCUGAGAGGAUGAUCAGCCACACUGGAACUGAGACACGGUCCAGACUCCUACGGGAGGCAGCAGUGGGGAAUAUUGGACAAUGGGCGAAAGCCUGAUCCAGCAAUGCCGCGUGGGUGAAGAAGGCCUUCGGGUUGUAAAGCCCUUUUGUUGGGAAAGAAAAGCAGCAGGUUAAUACCUCGCUGUUUUGACGGUACCCAAAGAAUAAGCACCGGCUAACUUCGUG